UACAAUGCCCAGGUCUGACACCAGCAGCCUGUGACAGGGAGAGCUCCGUGCGAUGACAGGAAGAGACUGUACAGUGCUGGGGAGGGGGCGUGACCUCCUGUCUCCUCUCUCCCCCUCCCCCGCCUUCCCUCUGCCCCGUGCAGUCUUACAACCCUCCAUAGGCAGAGCAGGGAGGGGAGAGAAGGAGAGGCCGUGUGUAUCCUGUCUCCCUCUGCUGCGCAGGGCGGGGGGACGUCACUCGUCAUCACAGAGAGCCAGCGUUGCUGUCGCGCUCCACCACUACCGCCGCCGCUGGCAUAAAUAGGGUUUAGGAAUUAACAUUGCUGAGGAUGUGAGAGCGAAAACCGAUGGUUUACGGAACAGAACAUUACGGAAGAAGAUUACAGAAGACUACGGCGCGCUGUGGAAUGUCCAGAGCCCUUUAAUGCUUCCUUAAAAUCUUUGACUGAAUGCUUGUGAAAUGUAGAUGGU